rnacentral:rRNA from 1 species
UGAGUAAUUCUAUAAUAUUAUAGAAAUUUUUAUGUUAAAACUAGUAACAAGAAGAAGACUCUUCUCUUAAAUGUUAGUGUCAAUCAGAAAGGACAAACCACUGAUAUUUAACACCCUAUGAGCUGAAAGUAGUAACCAACCUAGAAAACUCUACCAUAAUUAACGUUAAUCUAACACAAGCGCAUUUAAAGAAAGAUUAAAAGAAAAAGAAGGAACUCGGCAAAUAUUAACCCCGCCUGUUUACCAAAAACAUCGCCUCUUGAAAUCAAUAAGAGGUCCAGCCUGCCCAGUGACUCUGUUCAACGGCCGCGGUAUCCUAACCGUGCGAAGGUAGCGUAAUCACUUGUUCUUUAAAUGAGGACUAGUAUGAAUGGCACCACGAAGGUUAUACUGUCUCCUUUUUUUAAUCAGUGAAACUAAUCUCCCCGUGAAGAAGCGGGAAUAAAAUUAUAAGACGAGAAGACCCUAUGGAGCUUUAAACAAUAUAGCACUUACCUUAUAACACAUAAUUUUCUAAAUUAUUAUACUCUCCGGGUAACAUGACUAUAAGUUUUUGGUUGGGGUGACCACGGAGCACAAUAUAACCUCCACGUUGAAAAAACUUUAUUUUAAGCUCAGAUUUACCAAUCUAAGCAUCAACAUUUUGACAUCCAUUGACCCAAUAUUUUGAACAACGAACCAAGUUACCCUAGGGAUAACAGCGCAAUCCACUUUAAGAGCCCCUAUCGACAAGUGGGUUUACGACCUCGAUGUUGGAUCAGGGUUUCCAAGUGGUGCAGCCGCUACUAAAGGUUCGUUUGUUCAACGAUUAAAACCCUACGUGAUCUGAG